rnacentral:rRNA from 1 species
UACGUAGGGCGCAAGCGUUGUCCGGAAUUAUUGGGCGUAAAGAGCUCGUAGGCGGUUUGUCGCGUCUGCUGUGAAAACCUAAGGCUCAACCUUGGGCUUGCAGUGGGUACGGGCAGACUAGAGUGCGGUAGGGGUGACUGGAAUUCCUGGUGUAGCGGUGGAAUGCGCAGAUAUCAGGAGGAACACCGGUGGCGAAGGCGGGUCUCUGGGCCGAUAUUGACGCUGAGGAGCGAAAGCGUGGGGAGCGAACAGG